rnacentral:rRNA from 1 species
CGGGGAAUAUUGCGCAAUGGGCGAAAGCCUGACGCAGCGACACCGCGUGGAGGAAGACGGCCUUCGGGUUGUAAACUCCUUUUGCUAGGGAAGAGAGCGGACGGUACCUAGCGAAUAAGCCCCGGCUAACUACGUGCCAGCAGCCGCGGUAAUACGUAGGGGGCGAGCGUUAUCCGGAAUUAUUGGGCGUAAAGGGCGCGUAGGCGGCAUGGUGCGUCUUUGGUGAAAGCUCCCUGCUUAACGGGGAGAGGUCCAGGGAUACGGCCAAGCUAGAGGGCAGUAGAGGCGAGCGGAAUUCCUCAUGGAGCGGUGAUAUGCGUAGAUAUGAGGAGGAACACUAGAGGCGAAGGCGGCUCGCUGGGCUGUACCUGACGCUGAGGCGCGAGAGCGUGGGGAGCAAACCGG